GACGAACGCUGGCGGCGUGCUUAACACAUGCAAGUCGAACGGAAAGGCUCCAGCUUGCUGGAGUACUCGAGUGGCGAACGGGUGAGUAACACGUGGGUAAUCUGCCCUGCACUCUGGGAUAAGCCUGGGAAACUGGGUCUAAUACUGGAUAUGACCUUUCUCCUUAUGGGGUUUGGUGGAAAGUUUUUCGGUGUAGGAUGAGCCCGCGGCCUAUCAGCUUGUUGGUGGGGUGAUGGCCUACCAAGGCGACGACGGGUAGCCGGCCUGAGAGGGUGAUCGGCCACAUUGGGACUGAGAUACGGCCCAGACUCCUACGAGAGGCAGCAGUGGGGAAUAUUGCACAAUGGGCGGAAGCCUGAUGCAGCGACGCCGCGUGAGGGAUGACGGCCUUCGGGUUGUAAACCUCUUUCAGCAGGGACGAAGCGUAAGUGACGGUACCUGCAGAAGAAGCACCGGCUAACUAGGUG
rnacentral:rRNA from 1 species